CGCUCACUUGAGAUUUCCUCUCCGUCACCCUUUUUCCCCCUCUAGGGGUCCCGGGCUGCCCUGAGGCCACCGUCCAGCAAGAUCAGGACAGAGUUGCAGGGCCAGGAAAUGUGCAUUUGAACCGACCCUUGCUUUCACACUUCAGAAACGGCUGGAAGCACCUCUCAAGUCUGACACAGGCUGGAGUGCAAUGGCAUGAUCUUGGCUCACUGCAACCUCCACCUCCCCGGUUCCAGCGACUCUCCUGCCUCAGCCUCCUGAGUAGCUGGGA